rnacentral:rRNA from 1 species
UUAUCAUGGAGAGUUUGAUCCUGGCUCAGGAUGAACGCUGGCGGUAUGCUUUAACACAUGCGAGGCGAGCGGCUAAUGAUUAAGCAUUAAUAAUUUAUUAUUAAUAAUUUUUUAUAAGCAGCGCCGGACGGGUGAGUAACACGUAAGAACCUACCUUUGGGAGAAGGAUAACUACUGGAAACGGUUGCUAAUACUUCAUACGCUGAAAAGUGAAACGGGGAAACCUGCCAAAAGAUGGGCUUGCGUCUGAUUAGCUUGUUGGUAAGGUAAUGGCUUACCAAGGCGAUGAUCAGUAGCUGGUCUGAGAGGACGAUCAGCCACACUGGGACUGAGACACGGCCCAGACUCCUACGGGAGGCAGCAGUGAGGAAUUUUCCGCAAUGGGUUAACGCCUGACGGAGCAAUACCGCGUGAAGGAUGAAGGUCCGUGGAUUGUAAACUUCUUUUCUUAAGGAUGAAGAUCUGACAUUAUUUAAGGAAUAAGCAUUGUCUAACUCCGUGCCAGCAGACGCGGUAAUACGGGGAAUGCAAGCGUUAUCCGGAAUGAUUGGGCGUAAAGAGUCUGUAGGCGGUUUUCCAAGUCAAGUGUCAAAGAUCAGGGCUUAACCCUGGAGCGGCAGUUGAAACUAGGAAACUUGAGUAUGGUAGGGGUAAAGGGAAUUCCUGGCGUAACGGUGAAAUGUGUAGAUUUCAGGAGGAACACCGAUAGCGAAAGCACUUUACUGGUCCAAAACUGACGCUGAGAGACCAAGGCUAGAGUAGCCAAUAGGAUUAGAUACCCUAGUAGUUCUAGCAGUAAACGCUGGAUACUAAGUAUUGGUAUAUAAUAUAUAUCAGUAUUGAAGCUAACGCGUUAAGUAUCCCGCCUGGGGAGUACGCUCGCAAGGGUGAAACUCAAAGGAAUUGACGGGGGCUCGCACAAGCAGUGGAGCAUGUGGUUUAAUUCGAUGAUACGCGAAGAACCUUACCAAGGUUUGACUUGUCACGUCGAUUUUGGAAACAAAAUUUUUUGCUGCCAAACUUUGUUUGGCAUUAAGCAACGUGAACACAGGUGGUGCAUGGCUGUCGUCAGCUCGUGCCGUGAGGUGUUAGGUUAAGUCCUGCAACGAGCGCAACCCUUAUCGACUAAUUGCUAAGACUACUUAGUGCUUGCACAAAAGAAUCUUUAGGGAAUUAGCGAGACUGCCGGUGAUAAGCCGGAGGACGGUGAGGAUGACGUCAAGUCAGCAUGCCCCUUACAUCUUGGGCUACACACGUGCUACAAUGGCAGGGACAAUGGGAUGCGAACCCGCAAGGGAGUACCCAGCAUAGCUGGGUAACUAAGAAGCUAACCUCAAAAACCCUGUCUCAGUUCGGAUUGGAGGCUGCAACUCGCCUCCAUGAAGUCGGAAUUGCUAGUAAUCGCAGGUCAGCAAUACUGCGGUGAAUACGUUCCCGAGCCUUGUACACACCGCCCGUCACACCAUGGAAGUUGGUUCCACCCGAAGUCGUGGAUCUAACCUUUUUGGAGGAAAGCGCCUACGGUGUAACUAGUAACUAUGGUGAAGUCGUAACAAGGUAUCCGUACUGGAAGGUGUGGAUGGAAUACCUCCUUC